UACGGAGGGUGCAAGCGUUAUCCGGAUUCACUGGGUUUAAAGGGUGCGUAGGUGGGUAGGUAAGUCAGCGGUGAAAUCCCCGAGCUUAACUUGGGAACUGCCAUUGAUACUAUCUGUCUUGAAUACCUUGGAGGUGAGCGGAAUAUGUCAUGUAGCGGUGAAAUGCUUAGAUAUGACAUAGAACACCAAUUGCGAAGGCAGCUCACUAUACGGUUAUUGACACUGAGGCACGAAAGCGUGGGGAUCAAACAGG
rnacentral:rRNA from 1 species